GCAAUAUAAGAGCGUACGGUGAAUGCCUUGAUACUAUUGAACGAAGAAGGACGUAGCAAUCUGCGAUAAGCUUCGGUGAGGUGAUAAGCAACCUUUGACCCGGAGAUUUCCGAAUGGGGGAACCCAGUUUCGAUGAAAAUCGAAAUUAUUUCUAUGAUUAACGUCAUAGAGAAGAAGACCUGGUGAAGUGAAACAUCUCAGUAGCCAGAGGAAAAGAAAACGAAUUUUUACUGAUUUUCAUUCAUUGAUCACACUUCGGUGUGGUCCGUGAAAUGAAGAUCUGUAAUGUGAUUCCCUUAGUAGUGGCGAGCGAAAGGGGAAGAGUCUAAACCUAUACAGUGUUGUAUUAUUUUACACUGAUAUCUUCGGAUAUUUUUGGGAAUAAUACUUAAAGGACAGGCCGUUGCUGUAUAGGUGUUGCAAGAUGCGACAUCGGAUACCUGUUAUGCCGAAUAUAUAUAGUUAUUUAUAGUUGAAUAUUCCUGGAAAGGAAAACCAAAGACGGUGAUAGUCCCGUAAACGAAAUUUAUUUCUAUAUAUAUUGUUGUAUUCUUAAGUACGGCGGAACACGAGAAAUUCCGUCGGAACCAAGGCCGACUAUGGUCUAAGACUAAAUAUCAAUAGUAAUCGAUAGUGAACAAGUACCAUGAGGGAAAGGUGAAAAGCAGCCCGGAGAGGGCGAUGAAAUAGAUUCUGAAACCGUAUGCUUACAAUGAGCCGGAGCCGCCAUAUGUCGCUUGCGAUAUAUGGAAAGGUGACGGUAUUCCUAUUGAAGAAUGAGCCUGCGAGUUAUUUUACGUGGCAAGGUUAAGACCUUUUGGGUAAUAGCCAUAGGGAAACCAAGUCUGAAUAGGGCGUUAAGUCGCGUGAAAUAAACCCGAAACCGGGUGAGCAAUCCAUGGCCAGGAUGAAGGUUAUCGAAAGAUAACUGGAGGUCCGAACACACGCACCGUGCAACAUGCGGUGAUGAGCUGUGGAUAGCGGAGAAAUUCCAAUCGAACUCGGUAAUAGCUGGUUCUCCUCGAAAUAGCUUUAGGGCUAGCUGUAUGUGUUCCCGUUGGGGGUAGAGCACUGGAUGAGAGUUGGGCGGUUCGCCGUACCAUUUUCAAUCAAACUCCGAAUACCAACGAUUAAAAACAUGCAAGUCAGACCAUGGGGGCUAAGCUCCAUAGGUCAAAAGGGAAACAGCCCAGAUCGCAAACUAAGGUCCCUAAAUUAUCACUAAGUGUAGAACGUGGUGCAAAUUCUUAUACAACCAGGAGGUUGGCUUAGAAGCAGCCAUCCUUUAAAGAUAGCGUAAUAGCUCACUGGUCAAGAGUUUGUGCGCGGAAAAUGUACCGGGGCUAAGUGAUAUACCGAAGUUGCGGGUUGCGACAGAAAAUUACGUAUUUUAAUUUUUGAAGCAUAAUACUUUUUCGUUAAAAAAAUCUAAAAGAUUUUUUUAACUAAAAUAAAUAAGCUAAGUGAUAAGAUUAAAAUAUGGAGUUUUCUGUCGCAGCGGUAGAGGAGCAUUCCUAACAGCAGUGAAGCCGUACCCGCGAGGGAUGGUGGAGUGUUGGGAAGUGAGAAUGCAGGCACAAGUAGCACAAAUGCCGGUGAAAGUCCGGCACGCCGAAAACCUAAGGUUUCCAGGGCCACGAGAAUCGUCCCUGGGUUAGUCGAUCCUAAGGCCAGCCUAUCGCAAGGUAGGGUAACCGAUGGAAGAGCAGGUUAAUAUUCCUGCACUUAGUAUGGUUUGUUAUUAUAUGCGCAUCUCAGAUGUAUGAGCGUUGUAUGGCUACACGUUUCGCAAGAUAAAGACUGCGGCUUCGGCCAAGGUCAAUUCAUGUUAAAGAGGUGCCGAGAAAAGUAUAAUAACGCUAGGCUAUAUUAAUUCGUACCAAAACCGACACAGGUGGGUAGGUCGAGAAGACCAAGGCGCACGAGAGAAACAUGGUUUAGGAACUCGGCAAACAAGCGGCCGUAACUUCGGGAUAAGGCCUGCCCCUAUUUAUAGGGGCCACAGCAAAAGACUUCAUGCGACUGUUUACCAAAAACACAGCUCCCUGCAAAAGCGAAAGCUGAAGUAUAGGGGGCGAUGCCUGGCCAGUGUCAGAACGUUAAGGGGAGAGGUUAUCCCGUCGCUCUCGAGCGACAGGAGAAGCUUUGAUCUGAAGCGCUGAUGAACGCCGGCGAUAACUAUAAUCGUCCUAAGGUUUCCGAGGGGAUGAAAAUCAUCUCGGAAAGGACUGGGACGAUUAUAUGUAGUUCGUUGCCUAAUCUUUCAGUAAUGAAAGAGGUGUCCUAAAAAAAAGUUGGCUAUAUGCUGGAAAAUCUGGUGUAUCUAGCAUUACUAUGGUAAAAUAAAUUGACAAGGUAAGAAUAUUCCUUGUCUAAAUAAUCAUAGUGAUAAUAUGACUAGUGCAGAAAACCAGCAGGAAAGACUUACUAAGCUUGGGUGGAUAGUGGGAUUUGUUGACGGAGAAGGAUGCUUUUCAGUCGGAUUGAUAAAACAGUCUGACAGAAAAGAGAAGUCCAGAAUAAGAAAGGGAUACAAAACCGGCUAUCAACCGUUUAUUGAGUUUGCGGUUACACAAGGUGAAAAGAGUUUAGACUCUUUAAAAAUUCUUAAAGAAUACUUUGGUGUAGGAAAUAUUUAUCCAAAUCGCAGACACGAUAAUCAUAAGGAAAAUCUUUAUAGAUUUGUGGUUAGAAAAAGGGAAGAUUUACUAAAAGUAAUAAUUCCUUUUUUCAAGAAAUAUAAAAUGAAAACCGCAAAACGAGAAGAUUUCGAGAAAUUUGUUGAGUGUGUGCUAUUAGUAGAAAAUAAAGAACAUCUGACAACAGAUGGAAUGAUAAAAAUAGCUAAAAUCGCAUCAACAAUGAAUCGUAAAAAACCAAGAGAAAGCUUAAUAAGAAUCCUCAGAGACCAUACGCCAUCCCCCUGAUAGAAAUCAGGGUGAAGAAAUGGUCCGGUCUGUAUGGCGACAUACAGGUUCUAGUUUACCGUCUAGAACGCUAAUAAAUUAUUAUUAGUAACAUAACAAGCGAAAUUCCUUGUCGGGUGAGUUCCGACCCGCACGAAUGGCAUAACGGUGUGAAGACUGUCUUAACCAUGUACUCGGCGAAAAUGCAAGUGUCGUGAAGAUGCGACAUAACCACAACUAGACGAAAAGACCCCGUGAAGCUUUACUAUAGUUUGACAUUGGUAUAUUGUUUUAUUUGUUCAGCAUAGGUGGGAGCCUUCGGGCGCCAGUGAGAUACCACCCUUAUAAUGCGAUGUACCUAAUCUUCUGGUCUGAAUCGGCUGGAGGAGACAGUGUCUGAUGGGUAGUUUAACUGGGGCGGUUGCCUCCCAAAUUAUAACGGAGGCGUUUACAAAGGUUGGCUUAUCCCGGAUGGAAAUCGGGAUGGACGUGCAAACGCAAAAGCCAGCUUUACUGCAAGGGCUACCACCCGAGCAGUUGCGAAAGCAGAAGUUAGUGAUCCGACCGUACGACAUAGGACGGCGGAAGCUCAACGGAUAAAAGCUACUCCGGGGAUAACAGGCUGAUCGCGCCCAAGCGUCCACAGCGACGGCGCGGUUUGGCACCUCGAUGUCGGCUCAUCGCAUCCUGGGGCUGGAGAAGGUCCCAAGGGUUUGGCUGUUCGCCAAUUAAAGCGGUA
rnacentral:rRNA from 1 species